AAGUCUGCUGUUAAAAAGUGGAGCUUAACUCCAUCAUGGCAGUGAAACUGUUGGGCUUGAGUGUGGUAGGGGCAGAGGGAAUUCCCGGUGUAGCGGUGAAAUGCGUAGAUAUCGGGAAGAACACCAGUGGCGAAGGCGCUCUGCUGGGCCAUCACUGACGCUCAUGGACGAAAGCCAGGGGAGCGAAAGGGAUUAGAUACCCCUGUAGUCCUGGCCGUAAACGAUGAACACUAGGUGUCGGGGGAAUCGACCCCCUCGGUGUCGUAGCCAACGCGUUAAGUGUUCCGCCUGGGGAGUACGCACGCAAGUGUGAAACUCAAAUGAAUUGACGG
rnacentral:rRNA from 1 species